GACGCAGGAGCUGCCGGACAGGCAGUUGAGGCGGCACGCGGUGAUGCCGACGAAGAACUGCUCGGUGGUGAUCUCCGGCGGGUAGGUGAGGAACUGCGUGUUGUCGAGCUGGAGCAUGGUGGAGUUGCCCGGGCAGUUCUGGAGCUCCACCUUGCGCUUGCACCCGCUGCGGGGGUUGUUGGCGUCGUUGAGCUCGAAGUUCAGCGACGGGCACCCGCACACCGGCGACGUGCCGUUGUAGCCGCACACGCCCAUGUUGCCGCAGUAGCCGAACACCUCGCACUGGUCGGCCACCGCGGACCACUGCUCCGUCGCCGUGCCGCUGCCGCGCCCGGCGCUUUCUUGAGCACGAGGUUGCCGCUCUCCUGGAGGGCGGCCGCGGAGACGCCCCGGCCGGCGGUGCCGGACGACCAGAGCACGGCGCCGGAGCCGUUGACCAGCUGCAGGUCGCCGGUGGACGUGAGGCGGAGCGAGCCCCCCGAGUCGACGGGCGCGCCGGCGCCCGCGGACCAGACGGAGAUGCCGCCGGCGUAG
rnacentral:rRNA from 1 species